UACGUAGGGUGCAAGCGUUAAUCGGAAUUACUGGGCGUAAAGCGUGCGCAGGCGGUUAUGCAAGAAAGAUGUGAAAUCCCCGGGCUCAACCUGGGAACUGCAUUUGUGACUGCAUAGCUGGAGUGCGGCAGAGGGGGAUGGAAUUCCGCGUGUAGCAGUGAAAUGCGUAGAUAUGCGGAGGAACACCGAUGGCGAAGGCAAUCCCCUGGGCCUGCACUGACGCUCAUGCACGAAAGCGUGGGGAGCAAACAGG
rnacentral:rRNA from 1 species